rnacentral:rRNA from 1 species
AAGCGGCAAUAAGCUCAAAUUUGAAAUCUGGCACCUUCGGUGUCCGAGUUGUAAUUUGAAGAAGGUAACUUUGGAGUUGGCUCUUGACUAUGUUCCUUGGAACAGGACGUCACAGAGGGUGAGAAUCCCGUGCGAUGAGAUGCCCAAUUCUAUGUAAAGUGCUUUCGAAGAGUCGAGUUGUUUGGGAAUGCAGCUCUAAGUGGGUGGUAAAUUCCAUCUAAAGCUAAAUAUUGGCGAGAGACCGAUAGCGAACAAGUACAGUGAUGGAAAGAUGAAAAGAACUUUGAAAAGAGAGUGAAAAAGUACGUGAAAUUGUUGAAAGGGAAGGGCUUGAGAUCAGACUUGGUAUUUUGCGAUCCUUUCCUUCUUGGUUGGGUUCCUCGCAGCUUACUGGGCCAGCAUCGGUUUGGAUGGUAGGAUAAUGACCAAGGAAUGUGGCUCUACUUCGGUGGAGUGUUAUAGCCUUGGUUGAUACUG